UGAGACUUUAGGUCUCCUGAAGGAACGUUGAAGACGACGACGUUGAUAGGCCGGGUGUGUAAGCGCAGCGAUGCGUUGAGCUAACCGGUACUAAUGAACCGUGAGGCUUAACCUUACAACGCCGAAG
rnacentral:rRNA from 2 species